ensembl:lncRNA
UUUGUCUUUUCAAGAAACCAUUACAUGUGAAAAAACAGAAUUUUGCUGGAAGUGAAGCAGAAGUGACUAUGAAAAAAGAAGAAAGUUAAUGGGAUUCACUUUGACUGCCUUCUGUAUUUCUUAACGAUAUAUACCACACAAACUGUACAGAAACUUAAAGAGAUUAUUAAAAUAAUUACAGGUUAUCUCGGCUGGGGUAAGGAGCGUGAGAGAGAGGAGAGGAAAAACAAUGAUAACAAAGACCGUGAAACAAAGACAACAAAAAAGAAGGAAACACAGCAGGGGAGUACGGUUGCCUUACAUGGAGGUUUAAUGCCAGUUCAAUACCAAAAUCUCUAUUAACAUAACAACUAAACCCAUAUCAUCAGCUGCCUUUCAGCUAUAACUAAGCAGACUCCCCGCUCCAAGGCUCAUCUAUCACCUCUCCUCAUACUGAUGUAAAGAAAGAUUUCCAAGAUACCCAUGACUUUAAAUUUUUAUGUUGGGUGUGAAAAAAGCAACAUGAAGCUCUGAAGGAUACAGCUUGCUAAAGAGUGUUAAGUGUUCCUUUGCAAGAUAUUUUCCUGCUCUUUUAGAAACAAGAUUCACAAGCAUUCUCUGGGACUUGAGCUGUUUAACUUCAUCAAACAGUUAAAGACUGGGUCCCCAAGUUUGUCUGUAAAGGCAGGAACAGUUACAGAGAAAGUGACAGCAGAAGAAAUGCUUCCACCAGAAGGAGGCUGUUUUGGUUACAACUCUGCAUUCCAGAAACGAACUCUUUGAAGCAGUUAUGUAAAACUGAAUGGUGUAAAAAAGGUGACUGUGAAUCAAUUCUGUACUGUCUUUUCCAUAGAUUGGUAGUUCAGAAUAAGUGAAGGCGAUUAUUUAUGCAGAGGAAUUUGGUGCUACAGGGAACAGGAGACAAGACAUAUUGACUGUCAGCCAAUGCUGAAGACAGCAAACAGCAUUGAAUUUUUGGAUGGAUUUUCAAUAUAGCUCAUUAUAGCAGUUAUUAUGACCAUAUAGGUUAGGUUCCUGUCUUGAUUUACUGGUAAUAGCCUGAACAGCUUCCUGUGCAUCCUUACUGACAUGUCAGUCAGGCUGCUCUCUGGUCUCCAUUCACUGCACUGGCAUGUGAAGAAAUUAUGUGAGUAUGUGAGGAAUGCCAUAGAUCAGACAGGAGACCUGGCAUCCUGUAGGAGCAUCUGAAAUCCAAAAUUAUCUCAGAUGACACUAUAUACCAAUUUAUAGAAUACUGUGCCUCUCCUUUCAUACAAAUAUUGUACUGACUAUGGUGAGAGUUUAGACAGGUAGGCAGUUGAUCUUGAGUUAAAUUCUCAGCUAAGUCUUUGGUACAGUGCAUGAAACUUCUAUAAAAAUUUCAAAAAAAAUUAUUUCUUUUUCUGGAGUGCUUUGAGUUCUUGGUUGAGCCCUGUUUGUUUUUGUGCCAACAUCUCUUUCCCCGCAGAUCAUAUAUUCUCUGGUCUACUUGUUUUUCAUUCUGUUGCUUGAAUAAGUAUUGAGCUAUGGUUGUGAGAAUGAACAUUUAUGAUUGGGGGUGAGAAGGUAAAAGCACCAGGAAUGAAGAAAGAGAGAGACAGAUAUCUGAUGCAUUUUCAUCAUACAUCCUCCUUUCUCUCAGUGUACUCUAUCUUACCUUUGUGAUGUGCUUGCCAGAAGGACUCCAGUUUUAAUGGUCUUUAAGGCAUCUGGGUGUGUACCCAGGACACAUGGGAACUUAAGGUGAUUCGUGAAUCCAGGAAAAAGUGACAGGCCUAGGUUAUUUGAGCACACUGUGACAGGACAAGAGUUGAAGAUUGCCUGACCCAACCUGGAGCUCUAACCACUUCUUUAUUCUUCCUUGGCACAUACUUGCUGAAAUUAUAUUUAUUUUAAAAGUUCAUUAUUAUCAUAGAACUGCUCAACAUGGAUAUAAGUGAUAUCUCCUUGGGAUAGCUUGCAGUUUAACCUCCUUUCUUUAUAAAUUCAUAUACAAAUUCAUGUCAUUUAAUCAACACUUUGCAAGACUACGUAAAUACUCAAUGUACAAACUGUGCACCUUCUUCUUGAUUGCAACGAUAUUUUUAAAAUUCAUAUAAAUAAUUAUGUUAAUUAAAUCAUUCAAUGCCAGCCUCGUAUUGGAAAGGCUGAACAUAGCUGAAUAAUUGCCUGGUAGGCACUCACAAAACAGCUUGAGG